UGAACCGUUAGAUUCCGUCCGACUGUAUUUGUCCAGAGCAACUUUAAUUGUUGUUCCGUCGUAUUUAGUUGAUCAUUGGAAAACCCAAAUCCAACAGCAUGUCAGACCUGGACAGUUGCAUCUUUUUGUCUGGACCGAUCAUAAAAAGCCUUCUGCUCAUAGUCUGGCUUGGGACUAUGAUGUUGUUAUAACUACAUUUAACCGUUUAAGUGCAGAGUGGGGUCGGCGAAAGAAAAGUCCAAUGAUGCAAGUUCAUUGGCUUAGGGUUAUGUUAGAUGAAGGGCAUACCCUUGGUUCAAGUCUUAACUUGACAAACAAAUUGCAAAUGGCUAUUUCAUUGACAGCUUCAAAUCGUUGGUUAUUAACAGGAACCCCGACUCCAAACACACCUAAUAGCCAGUUGUCACAUCUUCAACCAAUGCUUAAGUUCCUCCAUGAAGAAGCAUAUGGCCAGAAUCAAAAGGCAUGGGAUGGUGGCAUUCUUAGACCAUUUGAGGCAGAGAUGGAGGAGGGUCGAUCCCGUCUGUUGCAGCUACUCCAUAGGUGCAUGAUCAGUGCAAGAAAGACAGAUUUGCAAACCAUUCCUCUUUGCAUCAAGGAGGUGACAUUUUUAAAUUUCACUGAGGAGCAUGCAGGAACUUACAAUGAAUUGGUAGUUACAGUGCGGCGUAAUAUACUAAUGGCUGAUUGGAACGAUCCUUCACAUGUUGAAAGUUUACUGAAUCCAAAGCAGUGGAAGUUCCGAAGUACAACUAUUAGGAAUCUAAGGCUAUCCUGCUGUGUGGCUGGCCACAUUAAAGUAACAGAUGCUGGCGAAGAUAUUCAAGAAACGAUGGAUGUUUUGGUUGAAAAUGGCCUCGAUCCUCUAUCACAGGAGUAUGCUUUUAUUAAAUAUAACCUCCUUAAUGGUGGUAAUUGUCUCAGGUAAUACCUCGCUUUCGAGGUUUUUUAUGGGGUUUUCUCUGAAUUUCUGUGAAAUGUCUGAAAUUUUUAUUAAUACUAGUUUUAAAUCCUCUUAUUUUUGGCUUAGGUGCAAUGAAUGGUGCCGCCUACCAGUUAUUACACCCUGCAGGCAUAUCCUUUGCCUUGAUUGUGUUGCUAUGGACAGUGAAAAGUGCUCUUUGCCUGGCUGCGGUUUCUUAUACGAGAUGCAGAGUCCUGAAAUAUUAACCCGCCCUGAAAAUCCCAACCCAAAGUGGCCAGUCCCUCAAGAUCUUAUUGAGUUACAACCUUCGUAUAGGCAGGUACGCAAUCUUCAAAGUUGAAAUACUUCUAUCAACAUUCCUAUUAAAACUGGAUUAUUUUUAUUUGUCAACGUUCAUAUGUAAAGAAUGUUAACAGUGCAUUUGUUUACACUUAUUUAGGAUGAUUGGAAUCCUGAUUGGCAGUCAACAUCUAGCAGUAAAGUUGCUUAUCUUGUAGAGAAGUUGAAAGUAUUGCAGGAGGCUAAUUGGGAGAUAUGUUAUGCUUUUAGUGAAGACAGUAGUGUCAAACACAUUGAGGAGCUACCUUUCACCCCUCAGUGGAGCAAUACAAACACAUUUUUGAAGCAAGAUUUAUACAGACAAAAUUUGGAGUCUAACAAGGCACUCCCUGAUAAAGUUAUUAUUUUUUCUCAAUUUCUUGAGCAUAUACAUGUCAUCGAGCAGCAGGUAGCAGUAUUUUCUCAUUUUGUAGGCAUGCCUUUUUGUGGUUUAUUUCAUAGACAGUGGAUUACAAAUUGCUCGUCUUUUUGGCAGUUAACAGUUGCUGGUAUCAAAUUUGCUGGUAUGUACAGUCCAAUGCAUUCUAGCAACAAGGUGCUUUGUCCUCAAUUUCCUGCAACUAGUUUAUUUUUUUUCAAUUUUUUCUUCUUUUGCUCUAAGUUAAUUUGCUUCUUCUUUAACAGAUAAAGUCACUGGACAUGUUCCGGCACGACGCUAGCUGUCUGGCUCUUUUAAUGGAUGGAAGUGCAUCAUUGGGUCUUGAUUUGAGCUUUGUAACUCGUGUGUUUCUAAUGGAACCAAUCUGGGAUAGAAGGUAAUAAUAUUUUAUCUUCUUUUUAUCUUCUUUUUUAUUUGAUAAGGAAGGUAAUACUAUUUUAUCAUGAUCAAGGAUAUUUGAGAUUUUGCUUAAAUGAGUUUCUUACUUUCUUCAAUGCCUCAAUGUUAGAUUAGUUACAAGUUUUAUUUUCAUACAAAUUUAUAUUUAGGGAAUUGGAAAGAAUGUGUUAUUAUCUGCUAUUAAUAUAGUUUUGCUUCAUACAACCUACUGCGGCAGGUGCUUUUCACCAACGCAUUUGUAACUAAUUGCGUAUAGAUUUUGGAUUAUUCUUAUUGGAUUUUUGUGUCUGAACAUCUGUUUAACACCUUAAUUGAUCCUUCUUUUCUUUUAACCUAAUUGGAGUUAAAUUGUCUCAUUUGUUUGAAACCCUAUCAGCAUGGAGGAACAAGUCAUUAGUCGCGCUCAUCGGAUGGGCGCUACUCGUCCUAUUCAUGUGGAAACUUUGGCAAUGCGUGGUACAGUUGAAGAGCAAAUGCUUGAAUUCCUACAGGUAUAGUCUGAUUCUAAUAUUAUUUCUUCUGUCAAAUCAGUGAUUGUGCAUCAGGUAAUUUAAAUAUGGAGAGAACUCCUCAAUUGUAGUGAAAAUCUAGUAGCAAAUAUGCAUUUGAUAGAUUUUGGUAAAAUAGUUUCCAAAUAUGUGAGCAGAAUCUCAAUUAAGUUUUUCAUAACUGAAAUUAAGGUACAUUCCUUUAACAAUUACCCUUCCGUCUAAUUGUUGUUUGGGGGGGGGGGGGGGGGUUGAAAAANNNNNNNNNNNNNNNNNNNNNNNNNNNNNNNNNNNNNNNNNNNNNNNNNNNNNNNNNNNNNNNNNNNNNNNNNNNNNNNNNNNNNNNNNNNNNNNNNNNNNNNNNNNNNNNNNNNNNNNNNNNNNNNNNNNNNNNNNNNNNNNNNNNNNNNNNNNNNNNNNNNNNNNNNNNNNNNNNNNNNNNNNNNNNNNNNNNNNNNNNNNNNNNNNNNNNNNNNNNNNNNNNNNNNNNNNNNNNNNNNNNNNNNNNNNNNNNNNNNNNNNNNNNNNNNNNNNNNNNNNNNNNNNNNNNNNNNNNNNNNNNNNNNNNNNNNNNNNNNNNNNNNNNNNNNNNNNNNNNNNNNNNNNNNNNNNNNNNNNNNNNNNNNNNNNNNNNNNNNNNNNNNNNNNNNNNNNNNNNNNNNNNNNNNNNNNNNNNNNNNNNNNNNNNNNNNNNNNNNNNNNNNNNNNNNNNNNNNNNNNNNNNNNNNNNNNNGGAUAUUGACUUGAAUUAAGAAUACAUAGAUUGUGAAAAUGAUGUAUAUAUGAUUUUAUAAUGAAAACUGCACUUAGUUAUAUUGUUUCACAUUUAUUGCCUUGCGUCAGCAUAUAGGAGCCUGUGGAUCUAUCUUGGCCCAGUACUAACAGGUUUGGGGCAGCAUGUCUGAAUCCUGUGAACUUGAUGAGAUCCUAUAGCAGUACAAAGAUUCUCUGGCGCUUUUAUCCAGUCAUCUGUACAGUAGAGAGAAUAUAUACUUGUUCUGAGAGAGAGGGAGGGAGAGAGAGGAUGGAAAAGUUCUGCAUUAUUAUGUUUAACAAUAAUUGUCUUUCAAUAGAUCGCUCUCUUGUAAUAUACACAAACAUUUUGGUCAUUACAUUGUCUACUAAUUGACUCAGUUUAAUAAUUUGCUGCAUGCUUCUCUAGGAUACCGAUAGGUGUAGAAGAUUGUUGAAAGAAGAGCUUGUCAAACCUGAACGUGAAGGGGCUCGAUCUCAUCGUACACUACAUGACUUUGCAGAGAGCAAUUAUUUAUCUCAUCUUAGCUUUGUGCGAACAAACUCAUAGGCAAAAAGGUAUAGGGAUACACAUACCCCAUAACCCAUAAUCCGCAGUUAGUUAUUACUUCACAGAAAAGAGCAUUUUACAUUUUCCAUUGUGGAGGAAAUAAAGCUUGGAACUUGUUGGGUGAAAAAGUUAUCUGGAGUUUACCUCAUCUUCAUUCUCUGUAAGUCAAUGUUAUUAGGAUAUGAAUUUUUCUAUUCUAUAGUAGAUAUUUAUUAUAAUUUCUAUUGAUGAUUUAAAAUAUUAGAGAUGCAUGUCUGUAGGGUAAGACAUUAGGAAACUUUAAUUAUGAGCUUGGCUAUUCUUUCACCAUUGUUGAAUUGGGUGAUGACGUGUCUUAAAAGAAUCAUUACUUAUUUGUUUAUGUUUUGUCCCUAUUUGAAAUUGAAUUAGUUAUCAUUUUUGUGAUGUUCAUCAUUUGCAACCUGGGCAGGGCUUUAGAUUGUGAUGUUGGAAUUGCAUGAGAAUGAAUUCCUGUCCCACAAAAUAUGAGAUAGCUUUCAGUUGAAGUUUCAAGUUCCCAAUUCCAUGCUGCAAUCUAUAGAUGGUUUGAAUUUGGGUCUGAAGGAUAUCCAAGAUGCCCAUCAAGGUGCCUAUUCUUUUGAUUAACUGGCUUAUUAUGUCAGUUUCAAUAAGUGUUUCCGUAAAUUACGUCCCAGCGCCUGUGCACCCUCUUAGGCUUGUGCAGCUAAGUUUGCAUGUUAAAAAUGUCAUCUUUUUUCUGCAAAGGUCUACUGUUGGUUGAAUUUUCGAUCCCAACCACGGAGCACAUAGGCCUUGAAAGGCUGUACAGAGCUAGUGGCUAGACCCACGAUCCACUGUUUGCAGGGUUCCAUUCAUGUUGAGAAUGGAUAAUUAAGAUUGUGUUGAGCAGGCAAGUUUUGAAUUGAACAUCUAUUUUCCCCAGAAUCCACAAAUUGCCUGUGCGUAUUUGCAACCCUGUAGAUUUCAUUGAUAGAGAUGUUGAUUAUUUCUCAUAAUCUAUUGUUAUGAAUUUACUGAGAUUAGUACUUUUUAUCCACCAGGCCCUCGUUUUAUUUUCUGAAGAAUCAUUCAUAUCUGGCACGCAAGAUUGCAAUGGACGAUGAGUUGGGCAUGCGGAUAAGUUAUUGUGCCUUUGUAGAGCUGGUUAAAAAUUUUCUGUUUUAGCCGUGUAUAUAUAAUAUAUUUGUUGUGAUAGCAAUUGGAUGACUGCUAAUCUUUUUCCAAUUUAACAUUCUGAUUUAGCGCAUUCUUUGUAUCCUAUAGAUCAAAUUUCAAUACGAAUCAUAAUUGAACUGUUGUUUUUAUUGUUCAGUUUGUGAGUUUUAUGUUCUCUUAAAACAUAUUUCCGUUUUGGAAAUUAAUAAAUCAAAUUUGAGAGGGUAAUAGCUGAUGUAGAUAUCUUUCAUUUCUUUAUUUAUUGAUUUUCUUUUUAAUCUCGAACAGGUAAAAACAAGUUGAUCCAUUAUGAAAGUACAGAUGCUCUCACUCAUUACAAAUAGUAUGUUCAGUACUAGUAAAAAGGGGGGAAAAGAAAAAGGAAAAAAGAAAGGCAAAAAUUGUUCAAUAAAUUCCAGGCUUGGUUAGUUCAUGAUCUAAUUUGAAAGAAACAAAUGCAUCGAAGGUUAUGGGUUUUGGCACUGCAAUUAUCUCCUUCUUCAGUUCAAUAGCUAACUUGAAAGAAACAAAUGCAUCGAUUGCAGCAUAUCGAAUCUGUUGUUUACUCAGUUUGUUUACAUCCCAUUUACUCAACGUAAUACGUUUAGAUUUCUCCAUCUCAACGUGAAGGAAUUUUAGAACCAAUCUCUUUAACCCAAAUCUCUUCAACUCUUCAUCAUCAUAUUUUGCUGCAGCCAUAUCAGCAACAUCCAUUGUUCUUGCCACAUUCAGUCCAUAAUCUUGGUAUAGUUUAUUGGCGUCGUUCUCGAUUCCUUUCCCCACGAACGUAAACUUAUCAUUCUCAAGAAAAUCGACAAGAGAUUGCGGCAUUCUGUCUUUGUGGCAUAGCUGAAAUACAAGACAUCUUUGGCCUACACAAAGUUGAAUGAUUGCUACUUUCUGGUGUUUGUUUGUCUCGGUGGGCAAACACCAUUCUGUAUCAAGACCGACAACAAGUUUGUGAAGCCUCCAACGAUGAACGUUGAUCGUUCGAGCUAUCCAACGAUCAACAUCCGAAGCACAAGAAGUCACCGCUGUGACAAAGUAAUCUUCUCCGAAGUUGAUACCCCAAAUGUUAUAGCCUAAAGGCUCAAUACUAGAAGAAGAGUUGUAGGCUAAAGGUUUGAUUUCGGCUGGUUUUGGUGACAAAGUCUUCAUAGCCAUAGAAGGUGGUGAUAAAAUUACAAGAAAUGAAAUGUGUUUAUGCAAAGUGAAUGAAAGGAAAAUAAAUAAAUAAAUAAAGAUAGCAAUGUUGUGGUUCUGAAAUGCAUGAUAUUUAUGGAGUUGUAAGCCUAUUGAUGCAUAAACAAUAAUCCAGUUAUAACAUCCCACCAACAAGUAACAACAGACAGAACAAAUUUUAAUUUAUCUUUCAUUUAUCAGUGAAUCUGAUCACAGUUAACUAGCUAACUCUACACCGGUAAAAGGUUGUUUUUUUUUUUUUUUUUCGUGUUUUUGUUUUAAGGAUUUUUUUUUGGGGAUUUGUUAAAAUAAAAGAAGAAAAAUACUCUUGAAUUAGAUAAAAUCAGCGGAAAAUUAAGGUUAGAAUAUUUCAAGCAACAAUUUGUUAUAUUUGGAUGCAUUUAAAGAAGCAUUAUUAUAGAAACAAAUUAUAACUUUUAUCUCAAAAUAACUAUAUAUUGUAGUCAUUUUCAAAUAUUAUCAAAUAGAAAAAAAAAAAUCCUCCACCUUGCAUAUAUGGAUAGCAAUAAAGAUUUGAAUUAUUUAAAUACAACAGAUAAAACACAUUUUUAUUACAAAAAGAAACUUAUCAUUAUCCCUAUUAGCAAUCUCCUCAAACAUACCACCAAUGAUAAUCUCACUGGUCAAAAGGAUUUAAAAACAAGAAAACAAAACUACAAUGGAAAAUGACAUUUAACUAGAAAAUUUGACAAAUAAAUAAACAAUGGAACUACACUAUCUUAUACAUAAUGUAAGAUAUAGCAAAUCCAUGAGUUGUCACUUAUAACAACUCAAUUAUUUUACAUGCAGUAAUUUUUUAGUUUUAGGUAACAACUCGAGAGGGUUGUUGUACAUUACAUAUGAUGUAACAAUAUAGCAUGACUCUGAACUAUGAUAAAUAUUCUCGGUUUUUUCAUUCAAUAGAAAAAUAAAAUAAAUUAACACCGAUUUAUCACUAUUUCUCUUAGUACAAUAACUAUUUGACUAGUUAGAGUGAAUACAUUUCAUUCAUUGGAAUGAUAAAGAAGUCCAAUAGUUUUAGUGUUAAACUUUGGAUUUCGCUCAGUCAUUUUAUUCUAAAAUAUGAAGCAUUUUAUUAGUACUUUAUUUUUUUACUAAUUUUAAUUUUCAUUGACAAGAAUCAGGUAAGCCAAACCAUGAAUCGAUGUAAUCGAAGUACUGUGCUUGAUAUCUUCAUUGCAGAAGUUCUAAACUUCAAUUCUGAUUUUUGGGGUAAGCCCGCCAAUAUUUGGUCACUUUGUCCUUUUUUUUUUCAUUUUUUUCCCCAAUUUAUCAGCGGAGAGCUAAUAUUUCUGCUUGAUUAUUGUGUAACUUUGACAUUGCAGCGGACCAAGUUCACGAGUAUUCUGGAAAAGUUGGGUGAGUAACUUAAUUUGUAACUUUUGUUGUUGUACUUAAUAGUGAAUUGUAUUUCAUUCAUUCUAAAUAUGACAAAUUCUUCAACAUACUUUAUGUCAUUUAAUAUUUCCUGCUUAAUUUCUUUCGUGAAAGUUAUCUUCAGAAUCGAUGCAAUUAAAUUUAUCAUUUUUUGCAAAUAAUUUGAACCAUGUCAGGGUGACUUUUGUGUUUUUGUUAGCUUUAUACUUCUGUAAUAAUUAAUGGUUCCUUUAAUGUAAUUCAACCAUGUUAAUAAUUUUUUCUCAUACACACCAUGGGGUUGCUGAAGGUAAAAGCGGUAGAAUUAUAUGGAGUUGUUUAAUUUCUUCCUAUUGAGUUAUUUCAGGUGUUAGAAUCCUUUUUCCUUGAUGUCACGAGGCUCGAAAUGUAAAAGUAAAUGGAGAACAUGAAAUAACAUGGCUUGAUGGAAAGAAAGGAGGACAACAGCUGUUGAUAGGAAAACAAAUUUUUAGAUGAUACAAGGAAACAAUAUUAUUAUUAUUAUUAGGAAAAUACUGUCUAAGCAACCUAAGAGGGGGUGAAUUGGGUUUCUAAAAAUUUAUGCAAUGUUUGAACAAAAUUUAAUGCAAAUCUUGAACGAAUUUAAAAUAACAAUAAAUAAAUCAACCAAAAUUUAAAAAGAUAAGGGAAGAGAGAUUCAAACAUAGAGAUUUUUAUGGGGUUCGGUAAACCUUUCCUACGUCCACGCCUCCAAGCUCACCGAACUUGAGGAUUCCACUAGUCAAGCCUCCAAGGUUUUAAGAACACUUACAAUUGACUUCGCAGGUGUUAAUCAACCUUUACACCAAGAGAUAUCCCCAAUCUCUUAACCCAAUUGUAUCCCAACACUUACAAUCACUCAAAAUAAAGAUUACAAAUGUGUUUUUCUCUCACACAAAAUAUAUGAUUACAAAUCAAUGCUCAAUGUGUGAAUAAAUGAAAUAAGAACGAAUUUAAAGCUCAAUGAAUGUUGUAUUCUCAAUUACAAGCUCAAUGAUAGCGUUUUGAUCAACCCUUAUUUGAAUUUGAUUGACUUUAUUUAUAGUUGGAGCUGAAAAUAGCCGUUAUUGACUUUCUGCCAGAUAUCGGAUCGCCGUUAACUGUUAUCGGUUAACCGUUCUGACUGGUCCAAGGCACCGCUCCUUUAUGAUGAAGAAAGUGAUAAAACUCCAGAAAAUGAUAGCUCUAGGUAAGAUUGUUAAACGAUUUUCAUUAUAUUGAGUUUUACAUUCAUAAGAUUGUUAAACGAUUUUCAUUUUACCAAGUUUUACUUUCGUAUGAUUGUUAAACGAUUUUCAUUUUAUCGAGUUUUACAUUAUGUUAUUUGUGUUUUUAAUCCAUUUUUCUUACUCUUCUUUCUAUUGUUAAACGAUUUUCAUUUUAUCAAGUUUUACACUAUGUUAUUUAUGUUUUGGGUCCUUCUAUCUUACAUGCAUGUAAAAUACAUUCCUCUCACAUGAAUAGUGUGUGGGUCCCACACAUGCACUAUUCAUGUGAGGGGGAUGUAUCUUACAUGCAUGUAAGAUAGGGUUUGCCUUAUGUUUUUAAUUCGUUGUUCUUACUCUUCUUUCUACAACGACAACGAACAAUUUGUGCCAGUGGUAGCACCACAAAUGAUAACACACAAUAAGUGAGUUAGAACCAGUGCUUAUUUUAUUAAAUAAAUCCUAACUAAUGUGCAUAAAUGAGCUCAUGUUAAUUGUUAACCACCAAGUUGUUUCUGUUAUCAACUUGGGCUAGAUUUUUUAUUGAAAAUACUUUAACUUAUAUCAAUUAGCUGGAGAGUUUAGUAGCGUUUUCAGCAUCUAGCUUUACUAAAGUUGUAGUCCACGUUAUGCAACUUCUUUUCUUGUCAUAGAUACAUUUUCUUGAAUUGCUCAAGUCCUUUUGCACGUCUUUGGAUGGAAUUUAAUUUUUGAGCCUUUAAUGUAACUUGUCAAAGCCUUCAGUAUUGUGUCCGCAAGAGUUUGUCUCCUGAGUUACAAUUUAGCUAAAUUAGUUCUAGCCUUAGAUUUUGUAAAUGAAUAUUAGUUGAACUUGAUAUGUUAAUGUAAUUCAAUAAUGUUAAUAUAUAUUCUCAUACACAUUGUAUAUAUUGAUUUUAUUUCAAAUGGUAGUAUCGUUUUCUUCUUGGGAUAUUUUCUCAAGGUGUCUGGCUCAUUCCCAAAAUGUUGACAUUAAUGGCGAACAUAAAGUAAGAUGACUUGAUGGAAAUUAAAUCAUGUUAAUAAUUUAUUCUCAUAGACGCUAUGAGUUGCUCAAGGUAAACUGAUUGAAUCAUCUAUGGUUGUUUAAUCUCACACAUUGCAUCAAAGCAUGUUAUAGUGGUCAUGGUGGUGCACCACAAUGACCACUAUGGUUGUGCACAGCCACAAGCAUUAUGGUUUUAGUACCUAACCCAUCACCUGAUGCAACUAGUUGAUAAAUUGUGUUCAUCAAUUUUAGGUCGACAAUAAAAGAAUGGUACUAUUGAAAAUGCAAAUUUUACAAAAAAUUCUCUUAUUAUAUAUAUGUUUGUUAAUUACAGGUUUUGUACUUUGUAUGUACACCAAAAUUUUAAAAUAAUAAUAAUAAUAAUAAUAAAUGAGGAAAUAUUCUUGAACUUCGAAUAAAAACAAGAAAGCUUAACUUAAGAAUUGUAAACUAAAACUGAACUAAAUCCAAUAUUAUUCAAAUAGUAUCUUCUUCGCCAUCUUUUUAUAUUUUACCAUACAAUUAAUUAUGUUUCAUUUAUAAACACGACGUGACAAUGACCACCCAUCAAUAUUUCUCAACCUUUUUGUCAAGUCAUUUUAAUUUUCAUUUCUUCUUUAUUUGAUUUUGGCAUCUUAAAAAAUAAUUAAAAAUAAUUGGUGGAAUGAUUUUGACCUUUAUUUUAUUUAUUUCUUAAUAGAAGUUAAAAUAAUGAACAAAUUUUAAGAUAUUGAGUUCCAAAACCUGCAACUUUAAGGACUUCAACAACUUAUCGUGAACAAAUUUUAAGAUAUUUCGCUAACUCCUAAUUUGCGCCAAUGGUGGCACCACAAAUGAUAACACACAAUAAGUGAGUUAAUUAUUGUUUUUAUUGUUUUUUGAAGUCACUCUUUAAAAUACCUCAGUAUUCUCAUGAACACUGAUGCAUCAUAGGUGAGUUAAUGACUGUUUUUAGUUUUUUUUUUAAAUCACUUUUUCAAAUAAUAAGCUCUUGAAGUAUUCUCAUGAACACUGAUGCACCAUGGGUGAGUUAUUGAUUGUUUUUGGUGUUUUUGAAAUCACUUUUUCAAAUACUAAGCUCUUGAAAUAUUCUCACGAUCAUUAACGCGUCAUAAUUAUUGUUAAAUGACAUGGAGAUUGUACGCUACAGGUGAGUCAAUCUUUUAUUUUUAUGUGUUUUGAAAUUAAUUUUAGAUACUUCUGAUAAUGUUGUUUUGUUAUUGAUAAUUUUGUUUUCUGUACACUUCAUACAUGAAUAGUGUUCUUAUUUUCUUGUUAUCAUUAUAUUGCUCCUCAUUUUAUUUAGUCUCACGAAACACACUACUUGUUUUUUUUCUGAUUCCAAAUUACUUUUUACUCGUUUGUUUAAUGAGCUAUCUGUAGUUUACACGUUUUUGGUUUCUUUGCUCGGAUUAUUCCUCUAUUUUCAAAAAGAAAUUAGUAUUGCUUUUCUUUUAAUGAGGUAUAACAUUUUCCAGGGGGAUUGUUCUAGAAAGUGGAGAAUUGAGCGGGACUAAGUCUAACAGCGGAAAAAACAAAGCUAAUCCUCUUACCGCUAAUCCAUUAGGCUAGAUUGAGGAAGGAUGAGCUCAGUGCUAUUUUCAUUCGGUUAAACGCGAAGGAGUUUUCUUUCUAUGGGCUGCGUGUUACGAUUUCUUAACGGAUCGACCACUGAUUUUACAAGCUUCCUUUUCCAAAUCGGACCUCGAGGUUUUGAAAUGGGCCUUGUUAUUGGGCCAGCUUUUGUUCCAAUAACAAACCGACACGAUUUUUUUGAAAUAUUUUAAUCGUUAACUGUUGGCUUGAACUAUAUAAUUUCGGUACUGAUUUUAUAUUUAUUUCUAUUUUUACUAACAGGCAGCAUUAAAGGAUGUUAUUGAUGAAUUACUAAGGAAGCCUUUGAGAGCAACUUUUAUUCUCCGCAAGGUUGACCAAACCUUUCAUCUGCAAAACACUCUCGUCGUGGUAUGAGAAUUAUCAUGACACUUUUAGACUUAAAUCAUGAUUAUUUAGAAAGUAAAUGACAUGUUUGUAUUGCAUUUUAAUUUUAUUUUGCAUGAAUAUCCAUUUUAGUUUAUUUUUAAUAAAUUGCCUUGUUUUAGAAUAAUUUGUGUGUUUAGAUUGUAUGCAUAAUUGUAGGUGACCGAAAGCUCAAAUUUCAAAGAAUGAAUGUUGCUACAAUAGACUUGCAAAAGAUGAAAAAGAACUUGACUAUAGAAGAAUUGAAACAAGUCUAAAAUAGUGCAUAUGUUGUAGCUCUUGCUAUAGCAUCCGUUGCUGUAUUAUUCGUUGCUGUAGCAAUCCUGAAACAACGACAAAGAUGAUUUCGCUUGAGAUAUUUAGAUGAUUGCGAUCUAGAGUUUCAUAAUCUGGAAGAUAUGCGCCCUAAACUUCUGUUUACCCUAAUUUUCAUCUAUAAAAGAAGUACACACACAAAAGAAAAGGAGAGUCAUUAUCCAAGAAGAAAAACCACAAAGAAACAAAAGAAAAACAUAAUUCAAGAUAGAUUUUGAAGGCUGCACCAGAGGAGAAAACGCAGAGAUCCAUUGAAAAUUAGUCCUUCUUGUUCUUUCUUGUUUUCUAUUUAUUCAUGGGGAUAUAUUUGAUGGUUACAACUCUUUUCUUUAUUUUUCUUUUGCAAACCAUGAACUAAAAUUAUUUAUGGUUGAGUGAUAAACAAUCUUGAUGGUUUAUUUACUAAAUAUAUGUGUUGCUGCAUGUUUGCUAUAACAUUUUAUUUUGAUAGUAUUUAUUUCUAUUUAUUAUUUCAGCUGAUCACCCAUUUAAUGAUACUAGCUAAGAAAGAGCCACAAAAGACCUUAUCUUAGUGGAACAUAUCAGAGCAAUACUUGGUUUUAGAUUGAAUUUCCUGAGUUGAGUUUACUUGAUUCUAAAAAGGCCUUGCUUAAUCUAAAAUUAGGGAUGAACUAAACAUAGUGAUUCACCUUGUAGAGUAAUUAGAACCUAAGCGUAUAAUGCUAUAUCUUAUAUUGGCGUAACAACUUAUCACUGUUAGGUUGCAUAUAUGUAUAAGAUAUCCAACAUCAUAAUGAUUAUGCGUAGUGUUAUAGCAGAUGCAAUAGCAACCAAGCCAAACAUUAGAAAAAUAGUCAAAACCAUUAAGUGAAUUUCAUCACUCAACUAUUCUAUAUUCUCAUUGGUUUUAUCCUUGAAUUUAACGUGAUAAUUUACUUUGUUGUAUUUCAUUUAGUGCAUUUUUAUUUUAAUUAGUAUAUUAGUUUCAUUAAUUUUUUUAUUUUAACUUAACAAAAUCUACACUGUUAAUAUUGUUGUAACAAGUCUGAUAACAUCAAUCCAUGUGGAAAAGAUCUUAAAUAUUCAUCAUUAUAUUACUUGUUGUGUACACUUUCACAUUAACACCCAUAACAUUAAAAAGUUACAACAAGUUUUUAGCGCCGUUACUAGGGAUUGAUUGUUUAUUAUAAUUUGUGAAAUUAGUUUUAACGGUGCUAAUUUUUAAUUCUAUUUUAAUUUGUUUACUUUGUUGGCAUAGGUGAUCUAGCAGUCAUAGCAUGCGCAAAUAUAAAUCUGUUUAAUUCCAAUUUGACACAAAAAUUUAAAGAAUUGUAAGGAGAUUGAGAAGAGAGCAUUGGAAAUUACAAGCUGUUGUAGCAAUGGAUAAUUUGCAAGAUAUGAGAAACUUGAAUCCCCGAGGAGAACUACAACCAGUCAAUGUACAUGAACGUCUGAAUGGACAAAAUGUUCAAUGAAAACCAGGGAAUAACAACGUUAUUCACAUGGUGAACAAUAGAGAUAGAGCCAUUCGAGACUAUGCAUUGUUGACUCCUCAUGUGCAUACAUCCUAGAAUAGUUAAACCCGAUGUUCAAGCUGACAAUUUUGAGCUUAAACCCAUCAUGUUUCAGACAUUGCAGACAGUGGGGCAAUUAAGUAAGUGAUGCCUUUAAAAUUGUUGGAGCAACGAAUGAAGCAUUGAGACUCAGACUUUUCAUGUUUUCUUUGAGAGAUCAAGCAAGCGUAUGGUUGAAUUCUUUAUCACCUGAUUCCAUCACUACAUAGAAUGACUUGGCUGAUAAAUUUUGGAUGAAAUACUUCCCACCGACCAAGAAUGCAAAAUUGAGGAAUGAGAUCACAUCUUUCCAUCAACUUGAAGAUGAGAGUUUGUAUGAUGCAUAAGAAAGAUUUAAGGAGUUACUUAGGAGAUGUCUUCAUCAUGGUAUUUUGUGCUGUAUACAAUUGGAAACUUUCUAUAAUGGUCUCAACCCAAACACUAGAUUGAUGGUGGACACUUCAGCAAAUUGGGCCUUGUUGUCUAAAUCUUAUAAUGAAGCUUAUGAAAUUUUUGAGAGGAUAGCUAAUAAUAAUUAUCAGUGGCCAUUAACUAGACAAGUUGCAACAAGAGGAGCAGCAGGAGUUCAUAAUGUAGAUGCCUUGAUAGAAUUAUCAGCCCAAGUAACUUUAACAAUUUUGAUGAAGGUGCUAUGACUACUGCUCCAGUAACUAUUAACCAAAAUUCUAAUGUGUCUUGUGUUUAUUGUGGAGAAAAGCAUUUAUUUGACAAUUUUCCUAGAAAUCCAGCUUUAGUCAAUUAUGUGGGCAGCUUUAAUAGACAAAAUCAGAACAAUCCAUAUUCAAACACUUACAACCCUAGAUGGAGACAACACCCUAACUUUUCAUGGAGUAAUCAGAAUCAGCCUGCUGCAACAUCCAAUGGAUAGAACAGACCUGCUUAGCACCUGAAUUCUAUCAGCAAAAUCAAGGGCAAAGAAGCAUCAACAAUGAUCAACUCAGCUCCCUUGAAACUUUGAUUAAGUAUUAUAUUGUGAAGAAUGAAGCAGUUGUCCAAAGGCAUGCUAUAUCUUUGAGAAAUCUGGAAAAUCAACUUGGAUAGCCUGCUACAGCAUUAAGCAACAUACCUUAGGGUAGUAUGCCCAGCAACACAGAGGAUCCAAAAAGAGAAGGGAAAGACUACUGCAAAGUGAUUUACUGGAGAUCUGGAAAGGAUGUUUAUAGUCCAGUUAGUGUACCAAAAAGAAGAGUUGAAUUCACUUCAAUCCAAAGAGAAACCCAAAUUGAAGAAGAGCCACAAUCCUCUACUUCACAACACACUGGUAAGAACAGCCAAGUUACAACAUUUACAGAAAAUGAUGAUCCAACACUUAUAGAUAACGAUGCUGCAUCACCAACCCAAAACAUGGUAAAAGAGAAGUAAUCUGCACAACCUGAUGCAGCACCGCAGUUUGAAAUGGGUCUUGUUAUUGGGCCGGCCUUCGCUUCAAAACAAACCGACACAAUUUUUCUUCUUUAAGAUUUUAAUCGUCAACCGCUGGCUUGAACUAUAUAAUUUUGCUUCUGAUUUUAUUUUUAUUUUUAUUUUUAAUAACAGGCAGCAUUAAAGGAUGUUAUUGAUGAAUUACUAAGGAAGCCUUUGAAAGCAGAUUUUAUUCUCUACUAGGUUGACAAAACCUUUAAUCUGUAAGACACUCUCGUUGUGGUAUGGACAAUUGAUUGUGAAUAAAUUUUUGUCUAUCCCUUUUUAGUUUUUUAAUUUUAGUUAUUAAUGUGGCAGUUCAAGGAGAUUUUUGGAUCAAGGGCAAAUGUUAUUGUCACUUUGUUAGCUGGUAUGAUGGGAACUAGAGAAGCUUUAGAUGUGUACCAAGAGGUUUGAUCUUUUUUUUUUUUAACUUUUUUUUUCAAUUUUUUUUCUUUUUUCGAUUCUGCAGGGUCAAUAGUUUUCUAUGUAAUUACAGGUGAAAUUUACAAAUACUCAGCAUAAUGAUUCUCACAUUGGGUUGUGCAUCUUUUUUCUGCCGGGAGUAAAGGUAAACACGUUUCCAGUAAAGAGGGUUUCAGUGCGGAAGGUAAUAAAUUUCCUUCUAGUCUAGUAUCUUUAUUGCAUCCUUGUUUUAUUUUAGCCAAUCAUAUGCUUUUGAGUUUCUCUAUUUACCAUCCAGAGCAUGUAACAUGUUUCGGACACUCUACGUAUAACGAAUCUUAAGGUUUAGUCUAAGAGUAAAGUAUGGAUUAAGUGAGUUGACCAACAAACCAACAAUGUAAUAAGUAUAUAAUAAAGUAUUGAACUAGUUUGCAUUCAUUUGUAUUACUGUGAUUUUGUAUGAAAGGUUAGGUUUAUUAGAAGUUGUAGAAGUGUGAGUUGGUUGUGGUCAAAUUUCCUAGAAACAGGCCUCCAGGGAUUAGGAUUAGGGCCAAGACAGUACCUGGAAAAUAUCUCCUUAAGAUCAUUAGUUUAGUUGACUUCUUAGCCAAAGGGAGGUGAUAAUAUAGAAUAUUCUCUACAAAGUAGAUAUCAUCAACAAGUUGAGAAUCAAAGUAACUACAUCAGCAUUUAGAGACUGCAAUUAAAGCUAAUGCUUAUUUUAUUAAGCUAGAUCCUAGCUCUUUUAUCAAAAAGACUUAUGUCCAUUAACUGAAGUCUUCAGCUCCGUUUUCAGCAGCUAGCUUUACUGAAGUUGUAGUCCAAGUAAUGUAACUUCUUUUCUUGUCAUAGAUUCUUUUUCUUGCAUUGCUUGAGUCCUUUUUCACGUGCUUGGAUGGAAAUUUUUGAGCCUUAAAUGUAACUUGUCAAGAGCCUUCAAUGUUGUUUCGGCAAAAGUUUGUCUCUUGAGUUACAAUUUAGCUAAAUUAAUUCUAGCCUCUGAUUUUAUGAAUGAAUGUUGGUUGAACUUGAUAUGUUGUAAUUCCCUCAGUAUUUUUGUUGAACUCUUUGUAUGCAGAAUAACAAGAAAACUCUUUUAGUAUACUUAAGCAAAAGCAUAAUCCAGGAAAAUUACAUCUUGGUCAAACAUGUCAAAUUUAAUAAUAUGAAUUUUGCUUAUGCAAUUCUGUACUUGGCUAAAUUAUAUAUAUUCUGACACUUUGUUUUAUAAUGUAAAACUUCGGGCUUUGUUUAGUCACUUUAUACAAAAAUAUGAAGCAUUUUAUCAUCACCCGAUUCUUUUAACUAACUUUGAUUUUCAUUGACAUGAAUUAGGCGAAUGAAGACAUGAAUCAGGCUAACGAAGACAUGAAUCAGCGAAGUAUUGUGCUUGAUAACUUCUUGGCAGAAGUUCAAGGCUUCUCUCCAUCGCCACUACUUAUUCUGAUAUUUGGGGUAAGCUCAUUAAUGUUUUCUGCUGUACGGCCAAGGCGGAUGUACGGUACAGCAGAGACUCGCUCUUUGUGAACCGUUAGAUUCCGUCCGACUGUAUUUGUCCAGAGCAACUUUAAUUGUUGUUCCGUCGUAUUUAGUUGAUCAUUGGAAAACCCAAAUCCAACAGCAUGUCAGACCUGGACAGUUGCAUCUUUUUGUCUGGACCGAUCAUAAAAAGCCUUCUGCUCAUAGUCUGGCUUGGGACUAUGAUGUUGUUAUAACUACAUUUAACCGUUUAAGUGCAGAGUGGGGUCGGCGAAAGAAAAGUCCAAUGAUGCAAGUUCAUUGGCUUAGGGUUAUGUUAGAUGAAGGGCAUACCCUUGGUUCAAGUCUUAACUUGACAAACAAAUUGCAAAUGGCUAUUUCAUUGACAGCUUCAAAUCGUUGGUUAUUAACAGGAACCCCGACUCCAAACACACCUAAUAGCCAGUUGUCACAUCUUCAACCAAUGCUUAAGUUCCUCCAUGAAGAAGCAUAUGGCCAGAAUCAAAAGGCAUGGGAUGGUGGCAUUCUUAGACCAUUUGAGGCAGAGAUGGAGGAGGGUCGAUCCCGUCUGUUGCAGCUACUCCAUAGGUGCAUGAUCAGUGCAAGAAAGACAGAUUUGCAAACCAUUCCUCUUUGCAUCAAGGAGGUGACAUUUUUAAAUUUCACUGAGGAGCAUGCAGGAACUUACAAUGAAUUGGUAGUUACAGUGCGGCGUAAUAUACUAAUGGCUGAUUGGAACGAUCCUUCACAUGUUGAAAGUUUACUGAAUCCAAAGCAGUGGAAGUUCCGAAGUACAACUAUUAGGAAUCUAAGGCUAUCCUGCUGU
rnacentral:lncRNA from 1 species